GACGAACGCUGGCGGCGUGGAUUAGGCAUGCAAGUCGAACGGUAUCAUCCUUUCGGGGGUGAGAGAGUGGCGAACUGGUGAGUAACACGUAGGUUAUCUACCCUCAAGACGGGGACAACCCAGGGAAACUUGGGCUAAUACCGGAUGUGAGCAACUUUUAGUUGUUUGAAAGGUGGCGUAAGCUGUCGCUUGGGGAUGAGCCUGCGUCCUAUUAGUUAGUUGGUGAGGUAACGGCUCACCUAGGCAAUGAUAGGUAGGCGGCCUUAACGGGUGGUCGCCCACACUGGGAUUGAGAUACGGCCCAGACUCCUACGGGAGGCAGCAGUCGAGAAUAGUCUACAAUGGUCGGAAGACUGAUAGUGCGACGCCGCGUGAACGAUGAAUCCCUUCGGGGUGUAAAGUUCUUUUAUAUGUGAGCAGUGCUUCUUAUAUUAACAGUAUGGGGAGAGAGAUAUUAGCAUAUGAAUAAGCAACGGCUAACUCCAUGCCAGCAGCCGCGGU
rnacentral:rRNA from 1 species